rnacentral:rRNA from 1 species
GACGAACGCUGGCGGCGUGCUUAACACAUGCAAGUCGAACGGAAAGGCCCUGCUUUUGUGGGGUGCUCGAGUGGCGAACGGGUGAGUAACACGUGAGUAACCUGCCCUUGACUUUGGGAUAACUUCAGGAAACUGGGGCUAAUACCGGAUAGGAGCUCCUGCUGCAUGGUGGGGGUUGGAAAGUUUCGGCGGUCGGGGAUGGACUCGCGGCUUAUCAGCUUGUUGGUGGGGUAGUGGCUUACCAAGGCUUUGACGGGUAGCCGGCCUGAGAGGGUGACCGGCCACAUUGGGACUGAGAUACGGCCCAGACUCCUACGGGAGGCAGCAGUGGGGAAUAUUGCACAAUGGGCGGAAGCCUGAUGCAGCAACGCCGCGUGCGGGGUGACGGCCUUCGGGUUGUAAACCGCUUUCGCCUGUGACGAAGCGUGAGUGACGGUAAUGGGUAAAGAAGCACCGGCUAACUACGUG